rnacentral:tRNA from 3 species
GGGCAGUUAGCUCAGUCGGUAGAGCAGAGGCCUGAAAAGCCUCGUGUCCGCAGUUCAAUUCUGCGACUGCCCACCA